rnacentral:rRNA from 1 species
UACGGGGGGAGCAAGCGUUGUUCGGAUUUACUGGGCGUAAAGGGCGCGUAGGCGGCCUUCUAAGUCGAACGUGAAAUCCCCGGGCUCAACCCGGGAACUGCGUCCGAUACUGGGAGGCUUGAAUCCGGGAGAGGGAUGUGGAAUUCCAGGUGUAGCGGUGAAAUGCGUAGAUAUCUGGAGGAACACCGGUGGCGAAGGCGGCAUCCUGGACCGGUAUUGACGCUGAGGCGCGAAAGCCAGGGGAGCAAACGGG